rnacentral:lncRNA from 1 species
AUCAAGUGGAAGGGUUGGUCUUACAUCCACAGCACAUGGGAGAGUGAAGAAUCCUUACAGCAACAGAAAGUGAAGGGCCUAAAAAAACUAGAGAACUUCAAGAAAAAAGAGGACGAAAUCAAACAAUGUUAGGGAAAGUUUCUCCUGAAGAUGUAGAAUAUUUCAAUUGCCAACAGGAGCUGGCUUCAGAGUUGAAUAAACAGUAUCAGAUAGUAGAAAGAGUAAUAGUGUGAAGACAAGUAAAUCUACAUUGGGUCAAACAGAUUUUCCAGUCAUAGUCGGAAGCCGGCACCCUCAAAUGAGCCCGAAUAUCUAUGUAAAUGGAUGGGACUCCCCUAUUCAGAGUGUAGCUGGGAAGAUGAAGCCCUCAUUGGAAAGAAAUUCCAGAAUUGCAUUGACAGC